rnacentral:rRNA from 1 species
AGAGUUUGAUCCUGGCUCAGGAUGAACGCUAGCUACGGGCUUAACACAUGCAAGUCGAGGGGAAACGACAUCGAAAGCUUGCUUUUGAUGGGCGUCGACCGGCGCACGGGUGAGUAACGCGUAUCCAACCUGCCCAUCACUUGGGGGAUAACCUUGCGAAAGUAAGACUAAUACCCAAUGACGUCUCUAGAAGACAUCUGAAAGAGAUUAAAGAUUUAUCGGUGAUGGAUGGGGAUGCGUCUGAUUAGCUUGUUGGCGGGGUAACGGCCCACCAAGGCGACGAUCAGUAGGGGUUCUGAGAGGAAGGUCCCCCACAUUGGAACUGAGACACGGUCCAAACUCCUACGGGAGGCGA